GACGAACGCUGGCGGCGUGCUUAACACAUGCAAGUCGAACGGAAAGGCCCUGCUUUUGUGGGGUGCUCGAGUGGCGAACGGGUGAGUAACACGUGAGUAACCUGCCCUUGACUUUGGGAUAACUUCAGGAAACUGGGGCUAAUACCGGAUAGGAGCUCCUGCUGCAUGGUGGGGGUUGGAAAGUUUCGGCGGUUGGGGAUGGACUCGCGGCUUAUCAGCUUGUUGGUGGGGUAGUGGCUUACCAAGGCUUUGAAGGGUAGCCGGCCUGAGAGGGUGACCGGCCACAUUGGGACUGAGAUACGGACCAGACUCCUACGGGAGGCAGCAGUGGGGAAUAUUGCACAAUGGGCGGAAGCCUGAUGCAGCAACGCCGCGUGCGGGAUGGCGGCCUUCGGGUUGUAAACCGCUUUCGCCUGUGACGAAGCGUGAGUGACGGUAAUGGGUAAAGAAGCACCGGCUAACUACGUG
rnacentral:rRNA from 1 species